rnacentral:rRNA from 1 species
UACAGAGGUCUCAAGCGUUGUUCGGAUUCAUUGGGCGUAAAGGGUGCGUAGGCGGCGCGGUAAGUCGGGUGUGAAAUCUCGGAGCUUAACUCCGAAACUGCAUUCGAUACUGCCGUGCUUGAGGACUGGAGAGGAGACUGGAAUUUACGGUGUAGCGGUGAAAUGCGUAGAUAUCGUAAGGAAGACCAGUGGCGAAGGCGGGUCUCUGGACGGUUCCUGACGCUGAGACGCGAAAGCGUGGGGAGCGAACAGG